GACGAACGCUGGCGGCGUGCUUAACACAUGCAAGUCGAACGGAAAGGCCCUGCUUUUGUGGGGUGCUCGAGUGGCGAACGGGUGAGUAACACGUGAGUAACCUGCCCUUGACUUUGGGAUAACUUCAGGAAACUGGGGCUAAUACCGGAUAGGAGCUCCUGCUGCAUGGUGGGGGUUGGAAAGUUUCGGCUGUUGUGGAUGGACUCGCGGCUUAUCAGCUUGUUGGUGGGGUAGUGGCUUACCAAGGCUUUGACGGGUAGCCGGCCUGAGAGGGUGACCGGCCACAUUGGGACUGAGAUACGGCCCAGACUCCUACGGGAGGCAGCAGUGGGGAAUAUUGCACAAUGGGCGGAAGCCUGAUGCAGCAACGCCGCGUGCGGGAUGACGGCCUUCGGGUUGUAAACCGCUUUCGACUGUGACGAAGCGUGAGUGACGGUAAUGGGUAAAGAAGCACCGGCUAACUACGUG
rnacentral:rRNA from 1 species